rnacentral:rRNA from 1 species
CCCCUAGAUGUUCUGGGCCGCACGCGCGCUACACUGAACAGUUCAACAAGUCUUAACCUUGGCCGAUAGGUCUGGGUAAUCUUUGAACGCUGUUCGUGAUUGGGAUAGACCUUUGCAAUUAUGGGUCUUCAACGAGGAAUUCCUAGUAAACGCAAGUCAUCAGCUUGCAUUGAUUACGUCCCUGCCCUUUGUACACACCGCCCGUCGCACCUACCGAUUGAAUGGUCCGGUGAAGUUCAUGGAGGGGCGGUUGUUUCAACUGCCGUCGAAGUGAAAUGGACCUCACGAUUUAGAGGAAGGAGAANUCGUAACA